rnacentral:lncRNA from 1 species
GUCUUAGCCGAUGAUAUCUCCACAGAUCAUUCCUCUGAUUUAGGAACAGAUUACAAUUAAUUUCCUGUAAUUAAUCUCUGUAAUUCCUUUCCAUAUUCUGUUUGUAUUCUCCCUAUUUAAAGGGCCUUAUACAUCAAUACAAAUCAUCAAGAAUUCCAAAUCCUCAAACACUUUCAUAAACGAGGUUUUUCUUUUUCUUUUUUACUUUCUAAUUUUAUUUUUUUUUUUGAAAUUUGUUUCUACUUUGUAUUCCUUUAUUUUUUUUCUUCUGAGUUCUGAAUUUGUGGUGCUGUAUUGAAAUUGACCAUAAUUCAUAUUUUGUGGGUUUGGGGGAAGGUAUAAGGUAAGAUGAGGAUGGAAUUGUUUUGUUGGAAAUGUCUAUUUUAAUGUCGGAGGUAGGGCUAACAAACGAGCUGAGCUGACUCUGUUGAGGUCGAUUUGAGCUUGAAAAACCAAACUCAUGCUCAGUUCAUUCGUAGUUUAUAAUUUUUUUUUUUUUUUUUUAAAUUGCCUCGUUACAAGCUUGAACUCGAGUAUGAGUUUAGCUUGUUUAUUAAACGAGCUAGAUAAGCAAGCUCGAGUUUGGCUGGUUAAGCUUAUCGAACAAAUGCGGUCUAAUGAGGCUACUAUGAGCAGUUCAUUAGCCACUUGGCUCACUUUCAAGCCUUGUUGGUGGUCGAAAAUGGGUCCUGUUUUGGAAGUUUGCUUGAGUGGAUAUGUCUGUUGGAGCAAUAUUCUCUCUUCAGAACAAGAAUCCUUCAAUAGCUGGUUAUAUUGGCUGGUCUAAAGGGAUGAUAAGGAAGCCACAUUUGUGAGGUCUGCCAAUCAUUGAGAGAAUGACCUCUAUGAUGAACUUUUUGGUUAGGCUUAUAGAGCAAGAGUGGGUGAAGAUUCAUAAGGCUGGCAUCAUUUUCUAUGAAUUAGAAGCUUGAAAUUAAAAUCUAAAUGCUAAAUUACAGGGCUAGGUUCAGGUGAAGAUAGAUUUUUGAUACAAGGACUGUCACAUAAACUGGGUUUUCUUUCUUUGGAUGCCUUCAUAUCAAAGGAUACCAAAGUUGAAGUAAGAGAUCAUUUGUACUUGUAAAUGCUAAUUUGAUGGUCAUCUAUAUGGUAUAUGUGAGUAUCAGCACCAUUGUGCCUAAUAUGGAUGCUUGAAUGGAGAGCUACACCCAUGCCUUUAUGGGAUAUAUACAGGCCUCCUAAGACACAUGUUUAUUAAAACGGAAGGGGGUCAUCUGUCCAUCUUUUUCGUCCCUUUUUCUAUUUUCUGUUAAAUUCUGGAAUUCACUUCUCAUUUCUACUUACCUCUUCUUAAUUUUCCUUUUUUACAUGUAGGGAAAACUACAAUUGUUUUUGUUAGGACAAUAAUCAUUCUUGCUAUUGUUCCCAAAGAAAGCAUGAUUUAAUGCAUAAAUGAGGUUUUACUUCUCAUUAAGGCAAAUAAUCUGUCAUCAAAUGAUUCAUUGAUUUACUUUUCAUAUACUUUGCAUGCUAAAAUUUCUGAUAUCCUAUUACUUGAUUGCAAGAAAUCAUUAACUGGCAUAAUUGUUUUUUUUUUUUUUUUCCUUUCAGCAUGUGUUGAUGAAGAUGAAGAUUGAUGCUUUGUUUGGCAGAUCAUUUUGGUGACUGAAGAUUUCCCUGUACUGUUAAAAUUAUAGAAGAUGAAAAUUAGGAGAAAAGUUUCUGUACAGUUUUGCUAUAUAUUUGGUGAUGUAUCAUUUCACCAAAUUGUUACACUGCUAAGCCUUAGAGUGUAACUGCAUUUUCUCCUCAAAUAAGAAAAAGGAAAAAAAAAAAAGAGUGUAACUGUAUUUAAUCCUUAGAUGAAACUGAUAUAGAUUUGUUACCAAAUGUUUUGUGUUUGUUUAUGAGCAUGGAAAAUGCCAAGUGUUUGUUGCUUGUGAUUAUGGUUUUUGGAUUAUUUGCACACAACUCACAUGGUGAAUGGUCAACAGUUGUCCUCUUCAUCCUAUC